rnacentral:lncRNA from 1 species
ACUAUACCUCCUUAUAAUUGAUCGAAGAGAUCGUCAAUCUGAGGUAAGGGGUACUUGCUUUUAAGGUCACUCGGUUGAGUUCUUGGUAAUUCAUGCAGAGUCAGAGAGUACAUCAUUUUUCUUUACGAAUAACACCAAAAUGCCCCAAGGGGAAUGGCUAGGGCGAAUUAAAUUCUAGGUUAUAAGGUUAGAAAGCUGAUGUUCCAACUCUGUUCACUCAGUGCGACUCAUGCGUUAUGUGGGC